GGGGGUGACUGGCUUCGACGGGGAACAGGAGGUCAACGGUGCGUGUCGAGCUCUCGGAGUCUCGUUAAACCUUCGGGAAAACAAUAAUUGCCAACGAACCAUUGGCUCUCGCAGCUUAAUUGACUGCGACGUCUCUCCAUUCUUUGUCUGUGGGCAUGGAAGAGGCGACACCUUAGCAGGCUGGUCCAAUGCUGGUGCUCCAGCGGCUGCGGACGAGAAAACUCUGGGCUAGCGAACGUUCUAAGCCGGUCGGUGGGCGUGGACGGUCGCGAAAUUUAAAUCAUCGACUACGCACGUAGGACCAUUGCGCUGAAUGUCUUCGGACGCGGGUUCAAAUCCCGCCACCUCCACCA
rnacentral:tmRNA from 1 species